rnacentral:rRNA from 1 species
AUGGCUGCGAAAACUGGUGUGAGGUCUCAAGACUUCUCGCAGCGGUUCUGGUACACCUUGUCCCGUGCGAUCAGUGAGCUCUGCGUGAUCAUAUUGCUCCAUGUGGCUGCUACAACAUCAUAUGUGGCCACAAGGUUGGCACACAUCAGCAGGCUAAGGGCGCCAUGCACCAUGUGCUCAAGACUGGACCAAGCCCUCCAUGGCAAGGCAUGGUUCUCCGCUGAUUUGGUGUGUGCUGCCCAUAGGACCGAGAUAUCAUCUUUGGCAUACUGCAAGAGUCACAACAAUCUUGCACAUUCUGCUGAUCUCUGCAAGAGAUGCCUUGCUGCAUGCACCCUGGCAGGCUUUGUCGAUGAGGUUAAUUCUUGGUCCGGAUCGAGGUCUAGACAGUUAUGUUCUUGCUGUUUGGAGCCAUUCAAGAAGGCGUGCAACGCACAAAAGCUUUAUGAAACUGCGGAUGUUAAGGAGCCCUCACAUAAUGUGCAUGGUUCAGACGAAAUCAAGCAGAGGAGCCAAGUUGCUGUGAUAGAAAAAAUCAAUCCUUCCAUGCCACCCAAGGUUGUACCUGAACAGGUCUCUACAGAUCAUUCAAAAGUUAAAGUGGGUAUUGAGGAAGUCAGGGAGUCAGAUGCUUCACCAGGCGCAUAUGAACAAUCUACGAAGGACAAUGGUGCUUCUUCAAAUGCUGGUUUGGCAGCAAAGCCUGCGCCCAGUGCGUCUGCCCUGCCUUCGCGCAUUUUCGUCGAUCGCAACAACAGUAUUAAGAACACUUUCGUCAGUAGGGUCAAUCUGCCAUCUCCUCGCCCAUCAGAGAUAAUCUCUGCCCGGGACAACAAUUCUACAACUCAACAAGAAGUGAAGGCACUCCUUACUCAGAUGUCCUCUGUAAGGGGCCUUGACUAUUCUUUGACUGAAGGAGUAACUAGUACUGAUACCAUGAUUCAGAAUGAUGAAAGCAAUGGUACCAGCAGGAGGCCAUACCUCGAGAGAAAUUACUCUAUGUUGGAACCGUCGGAUGCAAACCUCGGCAUUUGUGAAGCUGAAGGAGAGAUCUCACUUGAGAGUUUGAAGCGGCAGAUUGAGAUCAACAAGAAGUCAAUGCUUGUCCUUUACAAGGAGCUCGAGGAAGAAAGGAGCGCUUCAGCGAUUGCAGCUAGCCAAGCCAUGGCCAUGAUCAACAGAUUGCAUGAGGAAAAGGCUGCCAUGCAGAUGGAAGCACUACAAUAUCUUAGGAUGAUGGAAGAGCAGGCUGACCAUGACCAUGAAGCGAUACAGAAUCUACACGACUUGCUUACAGAGAGGGAGAAAGAAUUACUUGACAUGGAUGCCGAACUAGACAGUUGUCGGAGGCUACUCCAGCACGGCCAAUUUAAUGGGGGGAAUUUUGAUGAUACAGUGGACAAUACACCCGGAUAUGACAAGAAUGUGUCAUUUGAUGUCUUGAAUGCAUCAGAUUUCAUGACGAGCACCAUGUCAGGUUUCGAAGAAGAAAAGGCAUACAUUUUGGAAUCACUGGGCAGAUUGGAGGAAAAGCUUCGCAUUUCUACAUACAAGCUUGCUUCUAAUGAUACCACAAACAUUCAAGAGACAUUGCUUGGAGAUCAUAUAGGGGAUGAAUCAAGUUCUUUUCAGCAAUCAAUUGAGCAGAAGGACAAGGAUGAGUGUUCAUGUUCUUCUUUCGACAACGAAAAAAUGAGUGGCCUAAACAAUCUUCAGGAUGAAAUUUCACUCUUGGAUACACGACUGAGGGCCCUUGAAGAUGAUCAUGAGUUUCUCAAGCGGGUACUCAGUUCCCUCAAAGGCGAUGGGCUUCAGUGUGUACGAGACAUAAUGAGCCAUUUACAUGAGUUGCGAAGAGUUGCAGCUCAAUGA